AUUGAACGCUGGCGGCAUGCUUUACACAUGCAAGUCGAACGGCAGCACGGACUUCGGUCUGGUGGCGAGUGGCGAACGGGUGAGUAAUACAUCGGAACGUGCCCAGUUGUGGGGGAUAACUACUCGAAAGAGUAGCUAAUACCGCAUGAGAACUGAGGUUGAAAGCAGGGGAUCGUAAGACCUUGCGCAACUGGAGCGGCCGAUGGCAGAUUAGGUAGUUGGUGGGAUAAAAGCUUACCAAGCCGACGAUCUGUAGCUGGUCUGAGAGGACGACCAGCCACACUGGGACUGAGACACGGCCCAGACUCCUACGGGAGGCAGCAGUGGGGAAUUUUGGACAAUGGGCGAAGGCCUGAUCCAGCAAUGCCGCGUGCAGGAUGAAGGCCUUCGGGUUGUAAACUGCUUUUGUACGGAACGAAAAGCUUCGGGUUAAUACCCUGGAGUCAUGACGGUACCGUAAGAAUAAGCACCGGCUAACUACGUGCCAGCCGCCGCCGUAAUAC
rnacentral:rRNA from 1 species